rnacentral:rRNA from 1 species
AUGUGUGUACCGAAAGGAAAAGGUGGAAUGGGGUUUAGAGAUAUCCAUGCCUUCAACUUAGCACUUCUAGCAAAACAGUGCUGGAGGUUGAUUGAGAACUAUGACUCACUCUGUGCAAGAGUGUUGCGUGCUCAUUACUAUCCCACGGGGGAUAUUCUAAAUUGCACUUUGAAGAAGGGUUGUUCCUUUGUAUGGCAGAGCAUAUAUGCAUGCAUACAAACGUUCAAGAAAGGAAGCAUUUGGCGAGUAGGGGACGGCACAAAGAUUGAUAUCUGGGAAGAGAGUUGGAUACCAAACAGCCCAACGAGAAAGGUCCUGACACGACGAGGCAACUGCAUAUUAACACAUGUGAGCGAUCUGAUAGACCCUAUAUCAGGUGAUUGGGACGAGCAGAUUAUCAGGGACAAUUUUUGGGGAACAGAUGCAGAUCGCAUACUACAGGUUCCUUUAUCCCAUCAUGUUUUGGAUGAUGUUGUUGCAUGGCACUUCACAAAGAAUGGAGUUUACAGCGUUUGA